GCCAGAUGUGUGCCUUGCAUGGCCGAGAAAAGUAGUUUGCGGAAUCGAGGAACUACGUAAGCCAUGCAGUUGUUAAUUGUCAACGAUUGUUUGAAAUGGAACACCAAGAUGGAAUCGGACCAAUAACCGGAAAAAAUGUGCUGGAUGUUAAAUAGUUAAAUAGUGUUCCUGUAUAUCUUAAACACAAAUUUUUUUGGACAAUAUACAGAUAAACGCAUUCAACUUUC